GUUUCCGUAGGUGAACCUGCGGAAGGAUCAUUAUUGUAUAACCGAGGUGCGAGGGCUGUCGCUGACCCGAAAGGUCGUGCACGCCCGAGUGCCCUCACACACAUCCAUCUCACCCCUAUGUGCACCACCGCGCGGGUCCCCCUUUGGCUUGUUCGGAGGGGGGCUUACGUUUUCACACAAACUUUGUAUGCAGUGUAGAAUGUAUUUUUUGUUUUUGCGAUCACGCAAUCAAUACAACUUUCAACAACGGAUCUCUUGGCUCUC
rnacentral:misc_RNA from 1 species